rnacentral:lncRNA from 1 species
GUCACUCUCCAAGACCAUUAACUUCAUGGUUGUGGCUGGCUUGAGGGCAAUAGAUGAAGACUGGAUCUGAGCUGGAGAACUGCUUGUAGACUUAUCAACGGAAGCAUCUCCUGGGUCCUCCUCAUACACCAACUGCAAGGAGCCUACGGCCAGUGUGGGAGCCACACUGGGUCAGAAAAGAGGAGGCCACAAGGGAUAGGCCUUGCUUCUCUGACAACUAUCAAACCAUCAAGUCCACUUCCAGCUCAACCUUUUGCAACCCCAUACCCUCUUCAACAGCUCCCUUUCUGGUGCUAGCCUCAUCUUCCUGUAGGUCAUGCAGAUCUUCUUAACCCAGAGCCUCCUCUCCUUUGUCCCCUUCUGCUGAUCCACCAUCAUCUAUAUUUGCCUCUAUAUCUACCAACAAGGACUGUAGUACCACCAUUCCAUGAGGGCCCUAGCAAGUUCCUCUGCUGAAAUAGUAUGAUGUGGUAAUUGACUCCAUCAAUGUACAAACACCUCAAAAAGACUCAUAGGAGAAAGCUUAAGAGAAAGGUCUUUCCGUUGCCAGGGGGUGUACAGGUAAAUAAUACUGCCAUCAGCAAAGCAUGUCCACAUGGUUCCCUAGUAAUUCCUAGAGCCUAAGACUACUCUGUCUCCUCAGAGGUCCCUACUACAAAUGAUGCUGGUACUCUUUGAUCCUUAUCAUCGAGAUUAGCACCCAAAAUGGUCACCUUGUCACCCUAGGCUUGAUUCAUGUCCAAUAAUAUUCCUCAACCAAUGGGAAUUUUUCUUAUUACAUGCGUAAUCAAUCUUCAACCCAUUAAUGACAGGACCAAUUUGGCUGUGUCUGGUCAUCUCAUAGUGCGUGGGCCUCAUGACCUGGGAUAUUUGUACUCCGAGGCACUGCCCACAUGCUACACGCCAGAUCCCCUGGCAUGAUGGCUAGACAAAGUCAUGAUGUUUAUGUCUCCCAACAAGAAGACCACCCAAGCAAUGAUGUGGAUGUCACCCAUUAAAAGGGUGUGGCAAAAAUAUAGUUUCCGCUGAUGGACUUACCAACUGUAACUGCCAGACACUGCCCUCUAGUGUGGUUGGAGCCUAAGUAGAGAUGUCUCUUUAUUCAACAAGUGACUGUCUCUGGUAAGUGAAUUUCCAAGAUAGUUGAUUCAUACUUACAGAUUAUUAAAGUAAAACUACAUGCAUUAAACCUCUUGCAGAGUUAAUACCAGCAAUAUGAGCAUUCCACUGUUAUGCUACUUUAUAACAAAUAUUCUUAUUCUCAUUCACUCAGACUUUCCUUUGAAAUAAAAGACUUGCACUGUUCGUGUUUGCUUCUCAUAUGUAUAUAAAUCCUUGGUUAAAGUAGAGAAAGAAAUAGUGUAGAAAAAAAAUAUUGUAAUUCUUCUAUCCAAUGCCGUGUUAUAACAUUCAUAUCUUAGAAGUUUCUCCCUUUUUCAAUAAUUUAAAAUUCUUGAAAGCGUUGCUUGAUCCUUCCAUCCUUCUCAUUUUCUUUUAUUCCUUUUCUUAAUUAGUCCAUUUUUCAUCUAAGAUUUUCUCUAAUGGAUAAUCUUUAGAAGUGUUUUCUAUCCUUGACCUUACCAAUUCUUUCUGUGUAUUUCAUUAUGGUAUUGUAUUUCUUUUUUCUUUCUCUUUUCAGUG